CCAACCGGACGUGUGUGCUAAGUGCGAACGUCACUUCUCAAGUCCCAACAAUAAUAUCAGUUUGUUUGGUCGUAAAUUGGCCGAAAUCGUUGACGCAAUGGGCAGAUAUACGUGCGCCUACAACUGCGAGAGCUCCAGCGAUUCAGAUGUGAAGUGUUUUAAGUUUCCUCUGUACAAUCCCCGCAAACUGAAGAAGUGGCUGGACAACAUGAGGUGGAAGGACUGGACGCCGUCCCGCUUCUCUGUGCUGUGCAUCAAUCACUUCGAGGAGCGGUACAUCGACCGAACGGGCAAAAGUGUGACGCUCAGCGAAGACGCAGUUCCCACCAUAUUCUCAUCGCCUGACGACACACGGACGCGGAAGGCUUCAUCCAUCAAAUCAAGAGGUAAGAGAAACAAGCCAUAUGAAAAAGCCUCGCAGCCAGAUCUGGAUCCGGAUCCGUCUCCAGCUCCGUCUCCAGCUCCGUCUCCUGCUCCGUCUCCGGUGACGUCUCUGCCUCCGCCUUCUGCCACAACUAAGCGAAAUGUCCAGAACAUAGACGACAGACAGACAGAGGACGAGUGUGCAGGAGACAAAGAGGCCCAAAAGUCUGACAAAUGGAGGAUUAUAGUUGAUGAAGGGCUGAUGAGGAUUGAGUCUUUCCCCCAUUUCUUCCAUGGAGAUUACUGUUUACCACAGGAUAUUCAGUGGGCUCCAGACGAUAACAUAAAUACUGAAUGUAGAGAUCCUGAAAAUGUGAUAGAGGUGAAGGAGCCUUGGCAGUGGCUCGGUCUGGACGUCAGAGGAGUGCUGCCCGAGACAACGAACGGAAACAAAUACAUUCUGACCGUGACAGAUUACUACUCCAAGUGGGUGGAGGCUGUGCCGAUGCAGUCGUGCCUCCCUCUGCGUGUGGCCAAACACAUCGCGGACAUCGUCGCCCACUUCGGAUACCCGUUGGGAAUCCUCUCCAGACUGCCGCAUCACAUAGUCCACAAGAUCAACAGGGAACUGAAAGCUCACCUGAAGCUCACCAGCGCUCUCGUCGUCCAUCACCAGCAGACGGGCUCGGCAGACUCCAUCACCCAGCAGCUCAUCAACAGGAUGGUGAGUGAUCUGAUAGAAGAGCAUGCGGCUGACUGGGACGUCUUCCUGCCCGCCAAGGUUUUCAGUCUGUGUUUCAAAGAGCACACAAAGACCAAGGAGAGGCCUUUCUCGCUGCUCUGCUGUGGAGAACUGGAGCCGGCCCACUCCCCGAGAGGACAGGAUUAUGUUCAUGCAAAGAUCCAAGAAAGUGAUUUUGUGGUUCGAUAGAUGUUUAAAGCUUCUUGGGUCAAUAAAAAGUGGAAAUCACAUGGGACUAAUAACAAACGAGGAUGCGAUCGGGGAAAUAUUCUGACUACGUCGAGGAUUGUCUGGCCGCACAACGGGAAACAUUGGAACCCUGAUUGCUGUGUUGCACAUGACGAGUCAAAAAGGACAAGAGGAGCUUUGGGAGCAUGUUUCCAGUGAUUGGAAGACUUGGCCACGUGACUGUGAGCCUGCAUGAAACACGGCAGGGAACUGAAUCUGAGGCAGCUGAAUGGAAUUCAAGCCAACAUUCAUUCUGUCAUUUACACUCAUCAUGCUUUUCCUACUGUCACAUGUCAAAGCGUUGCUCUCUUUGUAGCUGCUUCGAACCCGCAAAUUCACAAACAUCAUGAGAUGAAAACAGAUUUGCGAGGCCAAACAUCCUGUGACACCUCGUCUGAUUUGUACGUGUGUCUCUCAGGCUGCUGUGGUUUCAGCUGUCCCCACUCUGCGGUGACAGCUGCUGUCGGGCCGAGAGGAGGAAAUGAAGUCCUCUCACAUAUGACUCAGCUAUAGUGAAAAUAAAACACCUGUUUGUAUCACUAAAGAGGACAUGAUUAUAUUAAGUAGAAUUUAAAGGUCCUUGGUUGAACAAAACUACUUCUGAAGUGAGACAUGAUGCUCUAUGAGAAACCAGGGUUCUUUUGAG